CUGACGGUUAUACUUGUUUCUAUCACUAGGUUUGAUAUUGAGUGUGUUAGAAACAAGUUGGUUGUCACACGACAUCAGGAAGACCAGAAGAUAAAACUUUAACAUAUUUCAGCAAUCUCAGAAACACAGUCGAGAUUUUUGUGUUCGAAUCCACUAUGUGACCUCACUUCAAUCUCGUUCUGCGAAUAUUUUUUUCAAGAUGAGGCUCGACUGCCUGAUGAUCAUCAUUCCUUUAUUAUGUCCAGAAAUAACCUCGUUUCAAUGGACGUCUGACCUCCAAGAUGGCGCUGACGUUUACGCGUGUAUCGGUGACAGUGUCACCUUGCCCUGGGGUUACACGGCACAAGAUGGAGAGACAGUCGAAGACAUAAAGUGGUAUUUUGACCCACAAAAUGGCAGCCACGUGGUAUUGCUGUCACCAUGGAAGGCCAGUUCUUCCCCCUGACCUCGCCAUUUUCUAACAGGAUUCGCCAAGUGCAGGAGGCAGGACUCUUAAUAACUUCCCUUACUGGAAGUGACAGGGGAAACUACUUUGUGACGGCCACUGUUCUCCGUGGGUCUACAUUUGCUGUCUACAACAGCACUGUGUCCUUGCGAUUAUCAGAAAAUGUCCAAGUUCACCAAAGCGAGGCUCUAUGGGCAAGGCAGGAACGUUUGACGGUCCACGACAACAACACAGGUCAGCUGCACGCGCAGCUGUCGUGCGGAGGUUACGUCAUCACUGGUCACCCGCCUCUGUCUGUUGAAUGGACGUUUCCAUCAGGUAAGACACAACUCGUUUCAACUCACAUCAACGGUACGUUCGUUCUAUCCGUGCCCAACCCCAUUCAGGGAGGUAACUACACGUGUCGUUUAUCGACUACAUUACCUCCCUUGUCCUGCUUGCCCCAUAACAGCAGCGUGUUUGGGAGUUCUUCAGUGACUGUGGACGAAGUAAAAAUGAGGUUUCACUGCUGGAAGGUGAACAGGAGAUGAUAAGAACAGAGAAACAAGUCCUGCAGGCGGAGGUGGACCGACUGAGAGAAGAGAACCGGAGAUUCAGCGAGGCCACCAGCAGUCAACAGAAGUAUCUCCAAGGGGUCAGAAGGGUCAUGUUCCACGUCCGUCCAAGCGAAAGCGAGUAUUUUAAUGGUGUCCAGCGUCUGGUCUUCAACCACGUGAUCACAAACAAAGGAAACGCCUACGAUGUGAACACAGGAGUGUUCACUGCCCCGUUCAAUGGACUUAUUUCUUUGUGCUCACUGUGGCCCAGCGGUCACGUACUCACCUGGCGUGUCGUUGGCUGAUGACGUCACAACGUUCUGCAAGGUGCUGUUACAGUCGUUCAUCAACGUCGGCUUCACGUGCGACGCUACGGUGUACCGAGCACAGGGCCAGCAACUCUGGAUCAGGACUAACGGAGAGUUGUCCCUGUCAAGUCCUUACACCUCCUUCAGUGGCUUUUCCUUGAACUCUGACAUUUCAACACAAAGUUAAUAUUCCUUGAUGUGAAUUUAAUAUUGAGUUCUAGUUGGGUUUUUAUUUUUUUAUUAACUGUAGUCCAAUGUCUGUGAUGGUUCAAACUGUUAUUUAAAAAAUAUAAUAGAGACUUAAUGCGUCGUCGAGUUUAAAUUAAUAUUAUGAGAUAUUAUGAAUUCAUUCUUGACACACAUCCACAAACGCUUGUAUAAAGCGAACGCAGUAUAUUUUAAAAUCAUUUAUGGUUUAUGCAAAUGUUUUUAUCUACAGGUCGGCGUAAGCUAAAAAAUUUUUUUAGUCCAGAUGAUGUAGAUAAGAUUGAUAAACUGCUUUCCGAAGCUGCUGAUACGCAUAUUUGACCUUUACUAUCUACAUUCGACAGUAACUAGUUGAAUGAUUAAGUGUGAGGUAGAUUGAUAAAUGCGCUCAAUAAUAUCUUCUCUAAUAUCUUGAACACACCAAAGUA